rnacentral:rRNA from 1 species
UACAGAGGGUGCGAGCGUUAAUCGGAAUUACUGGGCGUAAAGCGUGCGUAGACGGUUUUGUAAGUCGGAUGUGAAAUCCCCGGGCUCAACCUGGGAAUUGCAUUCGAGACUGCAAGGCUUGGGUGCGGAAGAGGGAAGCGGAAUUUCCGGUGUAGCGGUGAAAUGCGUAGAUAUCAGGAGGAACACCAAUGGCGAAGGCAGCUCGCUGGGACGGUACUGACGCUGAGGCGCGAAAGCGUGGGGAGCAAACAGG